rnacentral:rRNA from 1 species
UACCAGCACCCCGAGUGGUCUGGACGAUUAUUGGGCCUAAAGCAUCCGUAGCCGGUUUUACAAGUCCUCCGUUAAAUCCAGCUGCUUAACAGAUGGGCUGCGGAGGAUACUAUAAGACUAGGAGGCAGGAGAGGCAAGCGGUACUCAGUGGGUAGGGGUAAAAUCCGUUGAUCCAUUGAAGACCACCGGUGGCGAAGGCGGCUUGCCAGAACGCACUCGACGGUGAGGGAUGAAAGCUGGGGGAGCAAACCGG